ensembl:lncRNA
GGUCCGGUCACUGCGCGGCGCAUCCUGUUACCUUGAGUGAAAGAUAACAGCCGAAGAAAUGACAGCAGCGCCUUAUGGACAAAUAAAAGCGAAAACCCUGGAAUGUUGUUAGCUCCCGUGUUGUUUUGUUGUUUGGGAGAGUCAUGACGUCCUCGCAGAGGACUCGAUAUGGAGGCGAAGCGGCGCGCGACACUAAAUGGAGAAUGGCAGCUCCUCCAGUCCUGUUGUUAAAGCGCGCUGGCGGAGCACCUCAGCCCCGGCCCCUUCACCCCCACCCGAUGCGACUGGUCCAGAGAUCCCACUUACCUCCUCCUCCUCCUCCUCAGCUCCCUCUCUUCCAUACGCGGCAUGCAGAAGAGAGCGCAGAGAGGCCGCAUCUGGUCACCAUCAUCCGCCCUCAAAGUCAAAGUGCACUACGCAAGGUGACGGUCCUGUUGAACCGCAGAGGUGUGGUGUCCUUCGAGCAACUGCUGCUGGAUAUCUCUG